UGCGUGUAUGUAUUACAUAUGUGUAUGUAUGUGUAAACCCAGAGUUUAUUAAGCGCACAGAGGAAUUCCUGGUAAUUAGCAGACUGGAUUUUGCCUGGUGUGCCUAGGACACUUCUUUCUCUGGACUACAGACUCCUGUGAAGUGCUUCCACUGACAUUCUGGCAAAGGCUGGAACAAGAAAAGGAAAUCUCCCCAGAGUUCGACCUGUAGGAUCAAACUCAUCAGCCCCCAAGUAAGAGAAACCUACUUACCCAUAAACAUGAUGGCUGCAA
rnacentral:lncRNA from 1 species